CGUCGUGGGCGCCAUCAACAACUGUACCUCCCAGCUCCCCACCUAUGGGAGAUCUUCUCCCCCAUAAUUGCAGAUAAUAUAACACAAGCGCUCAUGUUCCUCUCGCACUUCAUCAGAGACAUACACUAGGUAGUACAAACCGCAAGCAAGGUUUGAUGUGCUCUAUUUGGUGUGUUUGAUCAGAUCAACAAUGUGGCUGAUCGCUCAUGCUACUGACUGCUAACACAACUACUACCUGUACUCCAUAGCCACUUCACUCCGACAAAGGAGGGAACACCGUCGACUUCCACUGGAACCUGGAUGCUAGGGCAUGCUCUGUUUUGUUCACUAAUUGCCCGGUUUGGAACGCCA